rnacentral:lncRNA from 1 species
GGGAUUGAUAACCUCCGCCUUCUCCACCUCCUGAAAUUGAUUGUCGUUUGUCAUAGGGAUUCUAAGUUUUUCAUUUUGUGUAAUUCUAAGUUGAAAGUCACGACUCUGCUUUUAUAAAAAGUCCACCAUGCCCGUGGCCAACUUACCAUCACCCCCGUGACUAUAUAGAAACCACGCACGUGGCCUACUGAUGCACACGACCGUGAUCUCUAGAUGGUCACGCCUGUGACUGAUUGCUGACAAUGAUCAUGUUCAAUUUGAUGACCAUGCCCGU